UACCAGCACCCCGAGUGGUCGGGACGAUUAUUGGGCCUAAAGCAUCCGUAGCCGGUUCUACAAGUCUUCCGUUAAAUCCACCUGCUUAACAGAUGGGCUGCGGAGGAUACUAUAGAGCUAGGAGGCGGGAGAGGCAAGCGGUACUUAGUGGGUAGGGGUAAAAUCCGUUGAUCCAUUGAAGACCACAAGUGGCGAAGGCGGCUUGCCAGAACGCACUCGACGGUGAGGGAUGAAAGCUGGGGGAGCAAACCGG
rnacentral:rRNA from 1 species